CAUCAUAGUGGGAGCAGAACAUCACAGUGGGAAUGUGUGGUGGGGGCGUUUCUUACCUCACGGUGGCCCAGAGUCAGAGAGAGAGGAAGAGACCAGUGUCCGGGUUCCCAUCACAAGGACACGUCCCAGCAAUCUAACUUCCUCCCAGUCUGUUCCACCUCUGAAAAGUCCCCCUGCCUCCCAGGAGCACCACAAGCCAGUGACCAAGGCUUUAACAUGUGGGCCUUUGCAGGGGGCAGGAUUUCUGAAAAAUCACAGGAUCCCACAGAGCCUCAUGCUUCCACUUUUUCUUACUGAUUGCCCAUACUGUAGCCCAGCAAUUUUUAAUAUGUGUCUUUAUUAGAUCCCGCAACUCCCUGCCUAAAACCUCCACUGCAACCAGCAGGGAGUCUAGUCCUCACUCGAGCUUACAGGCCUUUCCUCCAUCUGUCUCAGCCACCCACUUCCUACUUCUCCCUUGGGUUCCUUGUGGCCUGGCCACUUGGCCACAGGCUGUCGCCCAGCCCUGUGUUUCCCUGCCGCAGUGCCUUUGCCUUUGUCCUGCCUAUGGCACCCGGUUCCAGGUCUUAUUAUUGAGCCAUCCAUUCAGAUGUCACCCUCUCUGAGGGGUAAACUGCCUGCUUUGUUAAAUAAUGGAUCACACAGUGUGAAAUCACUGCUAUGUGACCAUCCUUGACCAGACAGGACCUACGAGCACGCUGUGUGCUCCCUGCCCCACCCCUGUCACUACCUUCUGCAUACAGUCUUUAGCAGUAGAUUUCGAUGUGAUUUCACUUGGGAGAACACAUGUAUGCUGAGAGUAUCAGAAGUUUCAUGAUAGGGUCGCUCUAUCUGUGCACACUGCAGGCAAGCAUCGAUGCUGGAAAUGACAAACAGAUUCUGUCUCAUAACAACUCUUAUAAACAGGUGCUUCAGGGUCCUGUUUUGGAGGAUUCUGAGGAUACUUCAGAUUCAGCAGGAAGCGUGUCCUGA
rnacentral:lncRNA from 1 species